rnacentral:piRNA from 1 species
UAGCAGUAACUGUUUUGGUCACCCAGCCA